UCAGGGGAAUUGCUCCUCUCUCCAUUUGGUGAAUUGCAUGCUACGAGUCCAAGCACAUGUAAUCUCCAUAUUAAAAUAUAUUCAACGAUGAGUCUGAGCAAUGAGAACCUUCCAGACUUUCCAGUCUUUCAUUUUUACCCACACGUUGUCCAAUGACUGGAGCUCUUUUUGCCGCCUUCUGCUGUGAAUGUUAACGGUUUAAAAUUUAAAUCCCAUCAUGGCCCAGUGGUUCCCCACUCCAGUCUCCUCGAGCCCAUGACCGGUUUCCUUGAGAGGGUC
rnacentral:lncRNA from 1 species